CACUGUUCAACUUUUGCUCAGAGUCUGCUUAAUUAAAUUGGUGUAUAAAUUAAUUUAUAUUUUUUUUUGCAAUUGAGCAGUUUUUAGAGAGAGAGAGAGAGAGAGAACAAGCUUACAACUAUCAACAACAACCACUGGCUUUUGUUAACGCACAUUGUUCAUUUUGCCUCAGAGCUUUUAAAAACUAUUGAAAACAAAAAGAAAAUAGACUUUUAUAAUGCGUGUAUAUUUGUUUAAUCUGUGCUAUGAAUGAGUCUAAUGUCAAUAUUUCCAUCAGGAUAAACGGCUGUGAAUACUUUGUGUAUAAGCAUGUGUAUUGACAAGUUCAAAAAUACUUUUAUAAGAAUAUUUAUUUACUUUAGGACGAAUGUAUUCAGGAACAUAUUGAACAG